CCACCGGGAUGUUCAUAACCCUUUGUUGUCCGACUCUGUUGCCUCCGGGGCGACCCUGCCUUCGGGCGGGGGCUCCGGGUGGACACUUCAAACUCUUGCGUAACUUUGCAGUCUGAGUAAACUUAAUUAAUAAAUUAAAACUUUUAACAACGGAUCUCUUGGUUCUGGCAUCGAUGAAGAACGCAGCGAAAUGCGAUAAGUAAUGUGAAUUGCAGAAUUCAGUGAAUCAUCGAAUCUUUGAACGCACAUUGCGCCCCCUGGUAUUCCGGGGGGCAUGCCUGUUCGAGCGUCAUUUCACCACUCAAGCCUCGCUUGGUAUUGGGCAACGCGGUCCGCCGCGUGCCUCAAAUCGACCGGCUGGGUCUUCUGUCCCCUAAGCGUUGUGGAAACUAUUCGCUAAAGGGUGCUCGGGAGGCUACGCCGUAAAACAAACCCAUUUCUAAGGUUGACCUCGGAUCAGGUAGGGAUACCCGCUGAACUUAAGCAUAUCAAUAAGCGGAGGAA
rnacentral:rRNA from 1 species